rnacentral:rRNA from 1 species
UGCCCUAGUACGGCGAGUGAAGCGGCAACAGCUCAAAUUUGAAAUCUGGCUCUCGGGCCCGAGUUGUAAUUUGUAGAGGAUGCUUUUGGCAAGGUGCCUUCCGAGUUCCCUGGAACGGGACGCCAUAGAGGGUGAGAGCCCCGUCUGGUUGGACACCGAGCCUCUGUAAAGCUCCUUCGACGAGUCGAGUAGUUUGGGAAUGCUGCUCUAAAUGGGAGGUAUAUGUCUUCUAAAGCUAAAUACUGGCCAGAGACCGAUAGCGCACAAGUAGAGUGAUCGAAAGAUGAAAAGCACUUUGAAAAGAGAGUUAAAAAGCACGUGAAAUUGUUGAAAGGGAAGCGCUUAUGACCAGACUUGGGCUUGGUUGAUCAUCCGGCGUUCUCGCCGGUGCACUCUUCCAGUUCAGGCCAGCAUCAGUUUGCCUCGGGGGAUAAAAGUAGCGGGAAUGUGGCUCCUCCGGGAGUGUUAUAGCCCGCUGCAUAAUACCCUGUGGCAGACUGAGGACCGCGCUUCGUGCAAGGAUGCUGGCGUAAUGGUCAUCAGCGACCCGUCUUGAAACACGGACCAAGGAGUCGUCUUCGUAUGCGAGUGUUCGGGUGUCAAACCCCUACGCGUAAUGAAAGUGAACGCAGGUGAGAGCUUCGGCGCAUCAUCGACCGAUCCUGAUGUUCUCGGAUGGAUUUGAGUAAGAGCAUACGGGGCCGGACCCGAAAGAAGGUGAACUAUGCCUGUGUAGGGUGAAGCCAGAGGAAACUCUGGUGGAGGCUCGCAGCGGUUCUGACGUGCAAAUCGAUCGUCAAACAUGGGCAUG